GGCGGACGGGUGAGUAAUACUUAGGAAUCUGCCCAUUAGUGGGGGACAACAUUCGGAAACGGAUGCUAAUACCGCAUACGCCCUACGGGGGAAAGCGGGGGGAUCUUCGGACCUCGCGCUAAUGGAUGAGCCUAAGUCGGAUUAGCUUGUUGGUGAGGUAAUGGCUCACCAAGGCGACGAUCCGUAGCUGGUCUGAGAGGACGAUCAGCCACACUGGGACUGAGACACGGCCCAG
rnacentral:rRNA from 1 species